AUAGUGAUCACUUACAUAUGAUGUGGGUUUAUGAUGAGUUUUAAUUAACGUGUUUGUUUCUUAGCCUUAAAGAAAUUAGUAUAAGGUUUAGUUAUUGAGUGUUCAUGAAAAUCUAAUGGUUUUAUUGUUUUGCAAUGAUAAAUCAGCCUGCAAAAAGCCAGUGGUAGCGAUCUCCGAGUUCAUUUUAAGGUACCCUGGAUCUUCAUGAUAAUGAAUGGAAUUUCAGACAUAUAUUUCCAGGUAAGUAUGGAACUAUGGAUUUAGCAUUCUUCAAAUCAACUACUCUAGCUUUAAUGUCGAAGAAAGACUAAGUGAACUACUUCACACACUUGCUGACUCAAAAUGUCAAAAAGUAAUUAAGAGUUCAAGUGAAGUAUUAAUUGUAUUUACUGGUAUGAACAAUAUCUGUGUCAUGAGGCUUGCAACAACACUAGAGUAA
rnacentral:lncRNA from 1 species